UACGGAGGUGGCAAGCGUUGUUCGGAAUUACUGGGCGUAAAGGGCGCGUAGGCGGCUAGGCAAGUCAGGUGUGAAAGCCCCGGGCUUAACCCGGGAAUUGCAUCUGAAACUGCUGUGCUUGAGUUCUGGAGGGGGUAGUGGAAUUCCCAGUGUAGCGGUGAAAUGCGUAGAUAUUGGGAGGAACACCUGCGGCGAAGGCGGCUCUCUGGCCCGGUUCUGACGCUGAGGCGCGAAAGCGUGGGGAGCAAACAGG
rnacentral:rRNA from 1 species